CCCACCACCUUCCACUCUGCAACCUGGUGCAGUGUGUGGAAACCCUUCAGCAUCCAUUUAACCUUCAUCCCCUUCCUUCCAGUCAGACAGGCAUGCAUCUCAAGAAAUAACACAUACAAUGACACUAUUUCUACUGGACUUUACAAAAACUCAUCAGCUCCUUUAUUUUCGGAACAAAAUGGCAUUCUAUAAAAAAAUACAAAACUUAUUCUCACUAAAGGGCUACAACUUGUCAAGUGAGAAAAUUCGAAAAAAAAAAACUAGCAAACAUGUUAACUACUUAUAAGAGAGUGAAAGACAGGCGCCGUGCAACUGGGGAAGGGAAGAUAACCUGGGAGUACUAUACACUAAUGGAUGAGUUAUUUGGGUCAUCGGGGAUCGGUACUGCACCACCUGGCACCAUUCACUCCACACCUCUGGGUUUGGAAGAGACCUCUUCCACAAGCAGGCCCACAACGUCUUCUCUUCAAGACCAGCCGGUAGGUGCUAGUAUGGAUGAACAGCCAGGAACUGCUACCAUACAAAAUGCAAACAACAUC